rnacentral:rRNA from 1 species
GAUGAACGCUAGCGGCAGGCCUAACACAUGCAAGUCGAGGGGGAGGUUACUUUCGGGUAACUGAGACCGGCGUACGGGUGCGUAACGCGUAUACAAUCUGCCUUUCACUGGGGGAUAGCCCGAAGAAAUUUGGAUUAAUACCCCAUAGUAUAGUAAUACGGCAUCGUGAUGCUAUUAAAGCUUAGGUGGUGAAAGAUGAGUAUGCGUUCUAUUAGCUAGUUGGAGAGGUAACGGCUCCCCAAGGCGAUGAUAGAUAGGGGUUCUGAGAGGGAUGUCCCCCACACGGGGACUGAGAUACGGACCAGACUCCUACGGGAGGCAGCAGUGAGGAAUAUUGGACAAUGGUCGGAAGACUGAUCCAGCCAUGCCGCGUGCAGGAUGAAGGCCUUAUGGAUUGUAAACUGCUUUUGUAAGGGAAGAAUAAGGGCUACGCGUAGUUUGAUGACGGUACCUUACGAAUAAGCAUCGGCUAACUCCGUG